GACGAACGCUGGCGGCGUGCUUAACACAUGCAAGUCGAACGGUGAAGCGCCUUCCUUUUUGGUGGGUGUGGAUGAGUGGCGAACGGGUGAGUAACACGUGAGUAACCUGCCCCCUUCUUCUGGAUAACCGCAUGAAAGUGUGGCUAAUACGGGAUAUUCUGGGUCUGUCGCAUGAUGGGUCUGGGAAAGAUAUUGUUUCGGUGGGGGAUGGGCUCGCGGCCUAUCAGCUUGUUGGUGGGGUGAUGGCCUACCAAGGCGGUGACGGGUAGCCGGCCUGAGAGGGUGGACGGUCACACUGGGACUGAGACACGGCCCAGACUCCUACGGGAGGCAGCAGUGGGGAAUAGUGCACAAUGGGCGCAAGCCUGAUGCAGCGACGCCGCGUGAGGGAUGGAGGCCUGCGGGUUGUGAACCUCUUUCGGCAGUGAAGCAGGCCUGCCUCGUUUGUGGGUGGGUUGACGGUAGCUGGAUAAGAAGCGCCGGCUAACUACGUG
rnacentral:rRNA from 1 species